UUUCCGGUUUUCCGUUCUGGUUUCUUUUUCCCAGGGAGAGAUGGGUAAAUAGCAAUGCUGCGUCUUCUGCCUGGAAGGCACAGACGCAGGGCACUCGUCACGUCUGGUAAGGGAUGGGGAAAAUAUGGAUCCUCUGACUCAGUGGCCGCCGUGUGGGUAUUCCUGUGUCAUGAGGAACACAUCAGCUUGGGAGCAUUAGCAUCCCGAGCGACAGUCACUACCUGCAGGGAGGUGAUAAGCUAAGCUUCCCAGUCCUUUGUCAGAUUAUAUAGUGACAACCGAGUGUAAUAAUUGGUGUUUCGUAUGAUGCCUUUUCCAACCAUCUCAGGCCAUUGGCCCGUCCUUCCUCUACGCUUCCAAUCAAUGUAUCACUGCUUCCACUAGAGUUGGCUACAAUGCAGUGUGAUUGUUUGGUCGUGAGUGUGGCUCUCAACCUUGACUGCUCUCUCUUCAAAAACAACCUUACUCCUCUGGUAAGCACAGAGCCGCUGCAUCCAUUGUAAGGCCUAAAAUGUCAUGGGCUGCUCGUCAUCUUCGAGUCUCACAGAGUCCCAAAGGCCUCAUUGCGAGUUCUCUCCUCUUGCCAGAUAUGCCGCCCACCCAGAGAGAAAGGCCGCCCCGCCCCUCUGACCAGCUCCCUGUCAGCCAGAUCAGCUGCACCCCACCCGGUCCUCAACCUCAUGGGUUCAACCUCCCCACCAGCUGCGAAGUCAUUCAAAGAAUCAGUCACAUCCUCCUGUGGGAACCAGGAGGCACUUCCUAUUCUCGUUGCUACAAAGCCUGGCUCCCUGAGCCCCACGUGGGACCGUGCCUGUCCUGUGGCACCCUCCGUCCCCAGACUGUGCGGCCCCGUGAAGCAGGCGAGACGGAAUUCUUUCCAUCCGAUGUCGGGACGAGGAGGCAGAGUCUCAGAAGUGUCGUCCUGCUCACAGUCACACAGUGGGGAACGGUCUUCAGAGACAGGACUCCGAGGAGCCAGCGUGGCGUUACGCAGGAGUGAGAGAAGCUUUCUCCUAAUCGACUCAUACGUGUUGCUUGUGAGAACCAGAGAGAGAGAGAGAAACUAUAAAACUAUCGCAGAGAUGAAGCUUCUCUUCGGGCCUGUCAUAUGUGGCUGUGCCUUCACUCAAGAAUACACGUGCUGAAGCUGUAACAGGACAAUGCAAACUUUAGCGAAGUCAGAAUCAUCAGGAGGACGUUAGAACUCAGGUGCCUAGGCCCCGCCCUCCAAGUUUCUGAUUCGGCGGGUCUAGGGCAGGCCCUAGCGCAGGGCCUGAAGAUUUACUGUUCUGGCAAGUUCCCAAGUAAUGCUGAUGUUCCCGAUCCCGGAACCAUGCUCUAAAAAAACACUGGAUCCGACACUCCCCAAACUGGUUAGCAGGAAAAAUUACACAGGGAGUAUUUUCUUUCUUUCAUUUCAGACUUCCUUCCCUUCCUCCCUCCCUCCCUCCCUCCUCCUCACUCUUAAGAGACUGAGCUGUCUAUGCCAAGGAUCAAAAAUCAACACUUUUUAAAAGCUUACACUGUAAUUUACAGACCCAACGCCUCUUCCUAAGGUGUUUGUAGUCGACUCACAGAAGAGAUCAUAAACACAUGGACGUCAUUAGAACUAAUUCAAAUGACAAAGAGAACUUGUUAAGUCCUAUGACUCUUUGUUCAGGUGAGAUCGAAAGGAACCCGAACGGAAGGAGGGUUCAUGAAGGAGGAAGCUGAUCGGUGAGGAUACAGAGGUGAAGUGUGGGGAGCACUCAAGGCAGAAGCGGCGGGGGGCAAGGGCGUAGUGGGGGUGAAAAGCGCUAGACGUGUUUGGAGACAAGGGAUUAACGCGCUUGGAGCGCAGCAUAGAGUAAAUAUCAUGGCACAGCGACAAUGAAAAAUCCAGGGAUCCAUUUCUCAGAUGGUUUGUGGUCAA